rnacentral:rRNA from 1 species
AUUGAACGCUGGCGGCAGGCCUAAUACAUGCAAGUCGAACGGUAACAUAAGAGAAGCUUGCUUUUCUUGAUGACGAGUGGCGGACGGGUGAGUAAGAUUUGGGAAACUACCUGAUAGAGGGGGACAACAGUUGGAAACGACUGCUAAUACCGCAUACAGCCUUAGGGUGAAAGAAGAAAUUCGCUAUCAGAUGUGCCCAAACGGGAUUAGCUAGUAGGUGAGGUAAAGGCUCACCUAGGCGACGAUCUCUAGCUGGUCUGAGAGGAUGAUCAGCCACAUUGGGACUGAGACACGGCCCAGACUCCUACGGGAGGCAGCAGUAGGAAUAUUGCACAAUGGAGGAAACUCUGAUGCAGCCAUGCCGCGUGUGUG